AGUGAACGCUGGCGGCGUGCUUAACACAUGCAAGUCGAACGAGAACGGAAUAUAGCUUGCUAUAUUUGUCAGCUAAGUGGCGCACGGGUGAGUAAUGUAUAGAUAACCUGCCCUUAAGAAAGGAAUAACAGUUGGAAACGACUGCUAAUGCCCUAUAUGCCUUUAAUACAUAAGUAUGCAAGGGAAACGCUUUAGUGCUUAAGGAUGGGUCUGUAUGGUAUCAGCUUGUUGGUGAGGUAAUGGCUCACCAAGGCUAUGACGCCUAACUGGUUUGAGAGGAUGAUCAGUCACACUGGAACUGAGACACGGUCCAGACUCCUACUGGAGGCAGCAGUGGAGAAUAUUGCACAAUGGACGAAAGUCUGAUGCAGCAACGCCGCGUGGAGGAUGACACAUUUCGGUGCGUAAACUCCUUUUAUAUAGGAAGAUAAUGACGGUACUAUAUGAAUAAGCACCGGCUAACUCCGUGCCAGCCGCCGCAGUAA
rnacentral:rRNA from 1 species